AUUGAACGCUGGCGGCAGGCUUAACACAUGCAAGUCGAGCGGGGAGAUGUAGCUUGCUACAUUUCCUAGCGGCGGACGGGUGAGUAAUGCUUAGGAAUCUGCCUAUUAGUGGGGGACAACGUUUCGAAAGGAACGCUAAUACCGCAUACGCCCUACGGGGGAAAGCAGGGGAUCUUCGGACCUUGCGCUAAUAGAUGAGCCUAAGUCAGAUUAGCUAGUUGGUGGGGUAAAGGCCUACCAAGGCGACGAUCUGUAGCGGGUCUGAGAGGAUGAUCCGCCACACUGGGACUGAGACACGGCCCAGACUCCUACGGGAGGCAGCAGUGGGGAAUAUUGGACAAUGGGGGGAACCCUGAUCCAGCCAUGCCGCGUGUGUGAAGAAGGCCUUUUGGUUGUAAAGCACUUUAAGCGAGGAGGAGGCUACUAGUACUAAUACUACUGGAUAGUGGACGUUACUCGCAGAAUAAGCACCGGCUAACUCUGUGCCAGCCGCCGCUGUAACAC
rnacentral:rRNA from 1 species